AGCAUGUUAGCUCAGGGGAAGAGCGCCGGGCUCAUAACCCGGAGGUACGUCAAAUCCAUUAAUUCAAAUUCAAAUCAGCAAAAUUCUAACAUCACCCAGGUCCCUGGAUCGAAACCAGGACAUGCUA